UACGUAGGUGGCGAGCGUUGUCCGGAUUCAUUGGGCGUAAAGCGCGCGCAGGUGGUGCGGUAAGUCUGUCGUGAAAUCUCCCGGCUCAACUGGGAGGGUGCGCCGAAAACUGGAGGACUAGAGUGCGGGAUGGGAGAGUGGAAUUCCUGGUGUAGCGGUGAAAUGCGUAGAUAUCAGGAGGAACACCUGUGGUGUAGACGGCUCUCUGGACCGCAACUGACGCUGAGACACGAAAAGCGUGGGUAGCAAACAGG
rnacentral:rRNA from 1 species